ACCAAAGAAAAAUGCACUUUUAUGUCCC
rnacentral:sRNA from 1 species